rnacentral:lncRNA from 1 species
GGAGGGUGUCUGGAGGUGGGAAAACGGGAGUCCCAGAGUUUGGUAGCGACAGCUCUCUGCCCCUGGCCAAGUUCACUUUUGCCUAAAUUUGGCCUUGGUGGCCACAGCAACUCGGUGGCACUUAUCUUUUGGCCUGGCGUGCCCUGUUUCCUGGUUUUCCAUUUGCAGAACAGAUCUCCUAGUUGAGGGCGAGGGGUCCAGCCUGACUGAUGUGCAUUUCUGCAGUACCUGCUGCAUUCCUGGGUCUGACCUAGACGCAGGGGCAGAGUCUUCAAGGGAAAAUGCCUGGCCUUUGGGCACUUAUUGGGAGGCUGCCUGGGCCAAGUGGCAUGAGCUUUGGGCUUCCCACUUCCCUGUGGCGGGUCACUUUGAACAGGUAAGAGCCCUAAGUUCUCUAAGCCUUGGUUUUCUCAUCGGGAAAUGGGUUGAGUUGAGGAUUUAAUGAGAUAAUGCGAAUAUGACUCCUGUGGGACGUGGCGUGUAGAGCGGAGGGCACCCUGAGGCCGAGGGGCCCAUAGGUAGCAGGAGUGAUGCUCAUGCAAACAGGACCCACCACUGCCAUCUCCUUGCUGGCUACGUGCCCGAUGUGGUUCUAACCUCCUUCUACUUUUCAACCCACCCGAUCCUCAGUGACUCUGCGUGGUAGGUCUUUCAGUCCCGUUUUAGAGAUGAGGAAACUGAGGUCCAGAGAGGUACCUUGUCCAAGGUCAUACUGCCAACGAGGGGCAGAGCUGGGACUCCCAUGUGACCCCAGAUCUGCCGCUCAGUCCGGAGUUUCGGGCCCAAUUGCAGCAGGCAGCUUCCUCGCCACAGGGCAGGAACCGUGGGAGGUGGUGGGUGGACCUCUGGCCGUGGGGCACAGGGACUGUACAUUUGGGAUUUUCAAAGGAAUGAAAUCGAUAUUUAUCAAAUACUUAGUAUGAGCCGGAGUCACACACUCUUUGUGCACACCCCAGUUUUUUGUUUAAAUUCCCAGACAACUCCAUGAGAUCGAUGCCGAUAUUAUCUGCAUCUUACAAGAGGACAGUGAGGCUCAGAGAGGCAAAGUUCCUUUCCCAGAGGCACACAGCCUGUGGGGGGGGGGGCGAGGGGAGGAGAGGGGAAUGGGGGCAAAGGGGUGUGGGUGAUUCCACAGCCUGCGAUCUUUGCCCCGAACCCGAUGUGGGAAAACGUCAUCCCAGCACCCUUUGAAUACAUUCUUAGCAAGUCACGUGACCCCCAUCUGGGUCAGCAAAGGAGGUCUCAAAAGACUAGCCUUUCCCGCCUCCUGAUGCUGACCCCGCCCCCUAGGCUUGGAGGGCUCUAGGACCCAGCAGCUGGGGAGGGUGGACUGUGUGUGUGUGUGUGUGUGUGUGUGUGUGUGUGUGUGUGUGUGUGUGUGUUGGGGGGGUCCCCUCAUCUUCAGGUCCCUCCUCCUCCCUCUCUCCAGCCUUUCCCUUUCUCCCCCACCUCUUCCCCCUUUCCUCCCCUCCCCCUCUUCAUCCCUCCCCUUUCUUCUCUUCCCUCCCCUCUUCUCCUUCCCCAGCCCCUCCCCCUCCCUCACCCCUCCCACCUCGGUGGUCACAUGGGGGGCACCGCCGGAUUUAAGCCUAAUCUGCCCUGUGCUCAGCACAGCGGUCUGGCUGUGGGGUGGGAGAGCUGAGCUAGUCUCUGGGGCCCUGGAGAAGGGCCUGGAGGGGGGUGCCCACAGCUCCCCCCUCCAUGAGCUUGGGGCUGGAGGAAUCGGUGGAGGCCCAGCUGGCACUGGAGACGGUUAUCCAGGUGGGUCCUGAGGACUGUGCCCACCCUGUCCGGGGCAGGGGAGCAUGGGUCUAGCAGGAAUGGAUGAGUGGUAGGUACAUCUUGGGGUCAUGGGGUGGGAGGGGUGGGUGGGAGGGUGCACGGGGGCCCCAGCUUGCAACUCCCAGCCGGACUGGGGGUACAGAGGUGCUCAGAGCAAAACUGCUUUGGCCCCCUUAUCCCAGGGCCCUGUGGGAAAAGGGGAUCCCUGCUCCCAGAUUUAAGGGUUGAGGUGACAUCUGCUAGCACAGUGGAAUCCUCUGGGAUUGGAGGGUUGGAGCUGGACUGGAACCCCCAGCCCUGUGCUGCCCCGAUGGGUUUUGUGAGCGAGCCAUGCGGUUUGGUUCGCUUCUCUGGCCCUCCAUGGGGCCUCCUUCCCGGGGCAGGAGGCACUGAAGCGUGCCCUCCCGUGGGGCGUUUUUCCAUUGUAGCUCCCAGGCUUCCCUCCGCAUGGGGGCUUCCUGAGGGUCUCACGGGCCCCCACAUCUUGGGCAGCAGGACUUUGUUCCUCUCCCAUCCAGGCCAGGGAGACCAGGGCCCCCAGUCCCCUUCACACUCUCUCUCUCCCCCCCUACAGACCCUGGAGAGCAGCGUCCUGAGGGCAGGCCGGGAGAAGGGCCUGAGCGAGCAGGACCCUGCCCAGGACUCUCAGCUCGCCUGCCUACCUGCCCGCAUCAGGGAGAUCAUCACCUGCAACCUCUCCCAGCCUGAGAACCAAGGUGCCGCUCUUCAUUCGCCCCCACAGACACUGCCUGCACCUCACCCCUUCUCACAUCCCCCUCUUCCACGGCCGUAAUGACAGGAGUGACCGCAGCUUCCAUUUCUCAAAUACUCACUGUGAGGCGGGCACAACCCUGUGAUGGAGGGACCCAUUUUACAGAUGGGGAAAUGGAGGCUCAGAGGUAUAGUUUGCCCAGAGUCGUUCUCCAUGUGACGCUGCGAGACAGUGGGGAUGAGCACCCCCACCCGCAGCUCACAGCAGAGACUUAGACCCAAAUACCACGUUCUCUCCCAGGGAAGGUGUGAGCUUGGCCGAACCCCAGAUUACAGGGGGAGGGCAGCUCAGUUUAGCUCAGGGCUCUGCAGAAGUCCCAGGGAUGGUCCUGUCCAUUCCCCAGCAGGGCAGAGAGGCUGAUGGGCCCCUGUUCCUCCUGCUGGGUGCCGUCCACAACCUCCUGUGUGGUUUGAGAGUCUGGGAAGGGCACACUCAGUUACAGCUGGCGUGUGGGCAGCUCUCCUUGGUGGUGAUUCUGGGGCUCCGCCACAGUCCUUGUCCAACCUCUUUGGGACGACCAGGGGUGUUGGGGCCCCUGGGAGCCCCAGGCAAGGAGAGACUUAGAGAACCCUCACCUCAGGCUGAAAGAGCCUGGAGACCUGUGGCGUGUGUCCAGUUCUCCUGGGAUGGAAGGGGAGCCCACAGGGCGGGGGACACUUCGACUUCUCCCUUUGUCCCCCUCUUCCUCUUCCUCCUCCUCCUCCCAACAUGACCUAUACUAUCUGAAGCCCUGGCUUCAGAGGUUACAUGAAGCCCUUCCCUUAAGUGAGGUCUUCCUGGUCUCCCGUUUACCAAUUCCACCCAGGUUACAGAUCAGCAAAACUGAGGCCCAGAGAAGAGUUCUGGGCCCGCUGGGGCCACCCUUCGGCGGUGUCUGGGUCCGCUCUGAGUCUAGCCCUAGGCCUGUCUCUUUGCCCACCUUCCUGUUCUUAUCUCUGUUUGCGUGCUCUGGUGCUGACGUCCUCUCUCAGGGGCCCAGUCCCUCUUCCUGCCUCCAGUGAUGUUUGUAGAGCACCUAUCGUGGGAGGGUGUCCUCCUGGACCCGGGGGGGCGGGGGGGGGGGGGGGAAGGAAGCCAACCAUGUGCCUGCUGUCCCUCUCCAGCCCCGCUGCCGGCCGCGGAGAUGGCAUCAGUGCUGUCGCUGCAGGAGGAAAACCAGCUGCUGCAGCAGGAACUGUCCCGCGUGGAGGACCUGCUGGCCCAGAGCCGGGCGGAGCGUGACGAGCUGGCCAUCAAGUACAACGCGGUCAGCGAGAGGGU